UCUAUGUGUUCUUUCUUUUCUUUUUUUUAAUGUUAUUUAUUUAUUUUGAGAGAGAGACGGAAAGAGAGCGUGAGGGCUGGGGAGGGGCAGAGAGAGAGAGAGGAAGCAUAAGAAUCCCAAGCAGGCUCUGCACUGUCAGCAAGGAACCUGACUCAAGGCUUGAUCUCAUGAACCAUGAGAUCAUGACCUGAGACGAAAUCAAGAGUCAGAUGCCUAACCAAUUGAGCCACCAGAGCACCCUGUGUUAUUUCUCUAACAAGAAUUUAAGGUUAUCUAGGGAAGAAACCAUUCUACAUAUUUCUUUUCAGUCCCUUAUCUCCUAACACUGUCUGAGCCAAUCAUGUGUGGGUGUUCCAUAAAUAUUUGAUGAAUUGGAUAGUAGGAAGCUAUGAAAAAAAUGGAAAAUAGAAAUCUAUAGUGUAUGGUAAAGCUCAACCAGGCCUAUGUUUCUAAUCUUCUUCCCACUAAAUCUUUGAAGAGAGCCUCAUUGAAGUUAUAAACCUAACUUUUAUCUCCUUUUUUCUUCUUGUAGAAUUGGAUGUGCCAAUCACAAUGACCAAAGGCAAAAGCCUGUGAUAGAAAAAGAGAAAAUUUUCGCUAUUAUAUCAGUGAACUUAUUCUCAUUAAUUUGUAUCUUUGUGCUAAUUUUGCUUUUUAUGGAGAAAAUACACACAGUCUGGAAAAUACUACAGAAGCCAAAGAGAUAUUCAGCAAUACUUCAUAUUAAAGAAAUAUUGUCGUAUAGAUUAAAGCAAAAAGUCAGACAUCUCUGUCUUAGUCAGCAGUAUACAUUUGAGAAACACACCCUCUCAUAUUUCCCUCUGUCCCAGUUACAGAUUUUCAAAAAACAAAAUAAAACAAACUGUGUUGGUACAGAGAAUAAAUUAGUCAAUUACUGUUUCCUUUCACAUCUCCUACAUAAGGAAACUUAGUCUCUCCCAAUAAUUUGAUGAACUUUCUAAAGUUUGAUGAUCAGAAUUAUGAAACAACUGGUUGUUUCCUUUUCUUUCUUUUGGUAGACAGGGAUGUUCUCAUUCCACUGUAGGAUUUUCUUGAGCUUAGGUUUUCUGUUAUGAUAUUUUUAUUUUUCUCCCUUUCAUUUAACCAAUUCAGUUUUUCUAGUGAGUUUUUUAAAACAUAUAUUUUUAAAUGUUUAUUUAUUUGUUUUAAGAGAGAGAGAGCAUGUGAGCAUGAGUGGGGGAGGGACAGAGAGAGAGAGAGAGAGAGAGAAUCCCUAUUAGGCUCACGCUGUCAGCUCAGAGCAGGAUGUGGGGCCUGAUCUGAUGAACUGAGAUCAUGACCUGAGCGAAAAUCAAGAGUCAGAUGCUUAACUGACAGAGCCACCCAGGGGCCCCUAAAGCAUAUUGUAAAUGUCACUAUUUCUUUGAUUUUCAAUUUCACAAAACUUUUUUCCGGAAGUAGGUAGAGCAAAGUGUUCAAUUUUUUAUAAAGAUCUUGACCUAUGAUGACAAGCAGAUACCCCACUCUAGACAAUCAUAAAUGCAAUCGAAGUGGUUUUUUUCACAAACAUACUUCUCCUCUUCUCUGCUCUAGACCAUAUACUCAACAUGGCUAGCCCCUACAAAAGUGUAAUUUCAGUGAAGUCUCAUAGUUACUCUGGCCUUCAGAAAGAGAGACACAAAGAACCCCCUUAUUUCUCUGCAGCAUCAUGGGGGCAAAUCUCAUCAAGUCAGUGACUCAAAUUCAAACAAAUAAAAAUGUUAAUGCAACGCCAGUAAGGGGAAUAGAUUUUUAUUUCAGAGAUGAGAUGAAGGAUAGUGAAUCAAGAGGCUUAACUGGGCAAGAGAGCAGGAUACCUAUGUCGGGUCUCUUGAUGUGAAAUCCCUGAAGAGAGGAAUUCAGAAUCAAGGUAGGGGAAAACUGCUAGAAUCUGCACAACUCAAAAACAAUACCCAUUCUGCCCUGCUGAAUAAAUCCAAGAGAAACAUAAACUUUAUCUCCGUGGGCAUAAACAUCACACUAUUUUCAUCAACAUUUUGUCUGCACCUUUCUGAAUCCUUCUGCCUGAUGUAAAUCCACUCAAAUAUGGAUAAAUCUAUUUCAGAGAAAGAAAUACCAUAUUGGGUCUGUUUAGAGUUGGAAAAAUCUAUAUUGAAAUAAACAUUUUGAUAAAUAUUAUUAUGCUGCUAUAGCAGUACUUUAUACAGUAUAAUGGAAUGUAAAUGGUUUCUGGACAGUAAAUUUUCUUGAUAACACAAAUUAUCCUUAUUCAUUACAGCUUUAUAUUUUAGCCAUUUGGGAUAGAAGUCAUUCUAAAGUGUAUUAUAUACUGGUUUACCUUUCUAAAUAGAGCAUAAUGAUCAUUACAUACUCAUUUUAUUAAUGACCUAAAGUCAUGAGAAUGAAGAACAAUUAUUAUUUGGUGAUAUAAUAUAGAGGUAUUAUUUAUAGUCUGAAGUGGGUGCAUCCUUCUCAGUGACUCGUUAGCGUAGUACAGUGGGGAAUCCAUAUUUUUAUGGCACGAGACGAGAGAAUACCAUUCAGUAAAUAAGAAGUUGAAAGGUUCAAUGGUUAAAGCCUGGAGUUAAUAUUGAGGGGCAGACUUAUAGAUAUACUUGCCUCAUGAGACCAAAACUCAAUAUUACUCUGUUGUUUCAACGUGCCUCUGAGGUAGCUUCACAUUUUCCUUAAAAUUAAAGUAAAUGGUUGGAAGUGGGCAAAACUGAUACAAGAAUAACAUCUCCAAAAAGAGACGGCUCAAGGUUUUCUGUUAUUUUUUAUUAUGCCCAAAUGCUGCAUUCAGUGAAAAUAUUCUGCCCUUCUCAGAGUUGCAAUCUGUUUUCAGUUAUUCCUCAAAGGCCCUUGGAUCACUCAUCAGGAUCACUGAAAUUGUUUUGAAAUGACAGUUGCAGGGAUACUUUAUAUCUUGUUUAGCUCUGAUGUAGUUUGGGUGAUGAACAGUAUCAUUGUGGGUAACAAAUGCCUCUUUUGAAGAAAAAGACAUUGCUUUGCUGUCCAUAUCCCUUAACUUGAUUGUGGACUAAUUCCUCUUCUCUCAGUAGAGCAAAAAUGCUUAAAUAGUGGUAUAUAGUGAGUCUUCUUAUGGUGGUGUCUCAACAGAUUUGCUGCACGAUUCAAACUAUAUUUUUUAAGGUUAUGUAUUUAUUUUUGUGAGAAAGAGAGAGAGAGAGAGAGAGAAUCCCAAGCCUGCUCAGUGCUGUCAAUGCAGAGCCACGCACAGGGCUAGAACCCAUGAACGGUCAUGACCUGAGCUGAAAUCAAGCGUUGGAUGCUUAACCGAUGGAGCCAACCAAAAGCCCCAGGAUUCAGACUAUUUCUGAUUUUAAUUUUCCAGAAAGUUUUUCUGACCUAGUAUAUUUAUCCAGCUGUGAAUAAUGUAGCAUUCAUGAUCUCACCACACUCAUUCAUAAAUGAAGGAGCACUGUAUCCUUUCCAGCUUGCACUCUCCUUUUCUGCUUUACGCCGCUGACCUGAUUUACAAUGUCAAGACAUUUCUAGACAGCAAAACUGCUCUCUUUGUACUUAAUGUGAGAUAAUCUUUGUAUUUAAUGGGAAAACGAGCGCAAGUAAGCAUUUGAUCAAAGACAACUGUCACCUGACAAAUAGUAGCUCUUAGCUCUUCAUCCCACGCUGACUUGGUCUUUGCUAAAUAUAUGGAAUCAUGCGCAUUUCUCAUUCCCCAAAGACGCCUCUUUUCUAACAGCAUUAAAAAGUGGCCUUGCAGAGGAAUGUUCUGUGUGCUAACUAGUAAUAGCUCUUUCUCUGAACCCCAAGCCCUCUUAACUGAGAGAUAGAUAAAACCCUAUCAUCUACUUCAUUUUCUCUAAUUCUUUUUUCCCUUUGCUUCUAAGGAAAAAAAAAAUUAGAAAAUAGUUGACAGCAUAUUAAGGACACAAGGCAGAGAAAAAUGUAAGUUCCUGAAAUGUUUAAGGGAGAUGGAAAUCAUCUACUUUUGGGAACUGCCUCACGGAAUUGAGCUGGUGCAUUAGUUAUCCAAAUUACCUCCUGCUUUUAUCGCACAGACAAUAUAGAGCUGAAUUGUUAAAUGAUGUGCACUUUUUUUUUUCCAAGAGCAAGAUUGGACACUUAAUCAGGUCAAUAAUUAUUCACGCAUUAGCACAGUCUUCUUCUUAAAGUGUAACGGUGACUCACUGGGUAUAUAGUCAUUAUUACUGAUUAGCAGGAAAUUAUUUUUGCGCAUCAGUGGUUCAUGUGAAAACAGCUAAAUUUAUUAUGCUGAGUUAUUUAACAGUUGGACCAUGUGAGAACUCUGGUGUUACUGUUGUGAUUAAAUCUUUAUACAUACAUCAGUAGAUAACUAUGGAAAAACUAUACAGCAAGAUACGGUUACACUGGAAUUUUACAGCUAACAGUUCCAACUUUUUGAAGUUUGUGCUCACCUUAGACAUUCAUAAAGCACUUCCACAAUGGAGUUCCCUUAUAGGUAAGUUUAUCUGAUAAAGAAAGAAGUGGGGAACAGAAAAGUAAAUAAUAUGAUAAAAGAGUAGAGGACAAAAUAUAAACCUAGAGAGUAAAUGCAAAAAAAAAAAAAAGAAAAGAAAAGAAAAGAAAAAGUGAAUAAAAAAGGCAGGAACAAUGGAAUAAGAGAGACAAAAUUUUACUUAGUUUGAAUUGUUAAUUGAAUGAGAUAUAAUGCAUCAAAAAUUCUCUUUGGUUUAUACCAUUGAUUUUUAAUAUACUGAAUGAAAAACAAUCCUACAUUUCUUUUUAAAAAUGUUCUUUUUAAUGUUUAUUUGUUUUUGAGGGAGAAGGAGAGAAAGAGAGAGAGAGAGCGCAGGAGCAGAGAGGGGCUCUGUCAGCGCAGAACUCAUAAGGACUCAUAAGAACUCAUAAGUUCAAAGCAGGGCUUGAACUCAUAAACCACAGGAUCAUGACCUGAGCCAAAGUCAGACUCUUAACUGAGCCACCCAGGUGCCCCCUAAAUUUCAUUUCAAUCAUUUCUUCAUAGGAUAUAUUUUGAGAAGAAAAUUUACAAAACAUUACCAGCAUUUGUCCCCUUUGGGGAUGGGUAAAUGCAUCUUACAAAUGGUAUGUUAACUUGAUCUUGUUCUUGACUGUGACCUUGCUGCAUCACUACCUACUCUUAUAACUCAAAAUAGCACUGUUUUGAAAAAAAAAAUUAGAUAUUAUAUAUUUUUAUCUGUAAACACAUAAGCAUAUAUUGCUAAAAAAGUAAAGAUUCCCUUUUAAACAUACCACAAUAUUAUCAUAUCGAAAAAAAGAUGAGAAAUACCCUAUUAGUAUUACCUAGUCUGUGUUCAAAUUUUCCCAAUUGUAUAAAAGCUUGGUUACAACUUUUUGUUUAAAUCAGUAUCCAAAUAAAGUGAAUGCAUUGCAUAUAUUUUGAUAUGUCUUCUUAGUAUCUUCUAAUCUGUAGUUUACCUCUCCUACUAAUUUUUGUUCUUGCAAUUUGUUUGUUGAAAACCAGGUUUUAUAUAUCUUUAUCUGAUUCAGACUUGUUGCUUUGGGUAAAAACACUGAUGUGGUGUUGUAUCUUUCAUCUGGAGACACAAAAUGUUUGGUUUCCCUCUGUCUUGAGAUUAGCAGUCAAGUAUUUUGUUAAAUUGAGUAUUUGUUUCUUUUAUGAGAGAGACAGGCUAAAUGCUUGGUUGUUUCCCUUUAUUUACCACUUUCUAAGUAAUGAAGUAGUUAUCUACCAUCAUCCAAAGUGACUAUUUUAUUUUAAAUAUCAUUUUGAACUUGUGGAUUUUUUGAAUUUAUUUUAUUAAAGUUUACUUAUUGGGUGGGGGGAGGGCCAGAGGGAGAAGGAGACAGAAAGUCUCAAGUAGGUUCCUCAUUGUCAGCACCAAACCCCAUGAGGGGCUCUAGAUCAUGACCUGAGCUGAAAUCAAGAGUCGGAUGCUUAUUAACCCACUGAGCCACCCAAGAGCCCCUGAACUGUGAAUUUUUAACCUGUUUGAUUAUCAUCAAUCCACUGAAGUUUUCAUCUUUGUUGAUACACACAUUGUCCAUCUUUGUCUCAGAUCAUAUCAAGUUUGCCCCUCCAUCCAUUGGAUAUAACCCCGUUUUUGGGGAAUCAUCCCCAAAAUAAUCUUAUCAAAGUUGUCUUUGAUAGGUUCUUAGCUAUCAGGUAUGACCUGAUGACCAGGAUCAUCUUUAACAUGUCCUUUGCCAAACCUGGAACUAACCAUUGCUUCAAAUCACAAAAAGGUAUUUUGUGAUUGACAAAAAAAAAAAAAAAAAGAAAAGAAAAAAAAAAAGAAAAACAGAAAGAAAAGAAGGAAAGCAAGCUAGGGUUUUUUCUGUUUGCUUAUUGGUUUUAACCAGUGGUUGCUUGUUGUUUCUAGGCCUUUCUCUGUUUUUAGUUGACAAGCUUAUGAAUAUCAUUUUUUUUUCAGUUUACUUAUUUUGAGAGAGAGAGAGAGACUGGGGGAGGGGCAGAGAGAGAGGGAGGGAGAGAAUCCCAAGCAGGUUCUGUACUGUUAGUGCAGAGCCCAAUGAGGGGCUUGAACUGGUGAGAUCAUGACCUGAGCUGAAGAGUCAGAUGCUUAACUGACUGAGCCACCCAGGUGCCCCAAAUAUCAUUUUUUAAAAGAAAGUAAAUCAUGAGUUUAUAAUAAGAUUUCAUUAUGGAGUUCUAAUUAACUGCAUUGAUUUCUUAAUUUUGUAUUUCCUUUUUAUGUAUUUAACAUUUAUAAAUAGUUGCUUUAACCAUUUAUAUAUAUAAGUGUUUGUUUGCUUGUUUUAUCUGCAGCUCUUUUUGCUAAAAAAGUAAAGAUUCCCUUUUAAAAGAUUACUCUUUUAAGGUAAUUCCACUCAGGAAGGGCAGGUAGAUCUCUGUUUUUCAUUAAUUGAAAUUAUUUUUCUUUGUUAGGUAAGUCAGAAACUAAGUAAAUAUAUGGUAAGUUUGGUUUUACUUCUGAAUUUUGAGGAUUGCAGUUUUUUUUAUUUUAAUAUCUUUUUACCUUAUAAUUAUAUAAUAUUUAAUGGGUUCAAAAUACAUCUACAAAGCAAGUAUAUUCAAGGUAAGUCUAACUUCUAUCAUGGGUUCCCCAACCAUGUUCCUCUCUCCUUCAUAGACAAAGAUUUUACUAAUUGUAUGAUUUAUCCUCUCAUUCUCUUUUGAAACUAAACAAAUAUAUAUUCAUAUGACUUGUUAGAUACAUGUUAGCAUGACUUUUUUUUCCACUUAACAUUAAAUCCUGGAGAUUAUAACUGCCUAUAGCAUUCUCUCUCUCUCUUUUUUUAACAGUUGCAUUAUAUUCCAUUAUGUGGAUUUACUAUCAUUUAUUCAGCUAGUUCCCUAUUAAUUACCAUGUGUUUGCUCCCAAUCUUUAGUUGUUACAAAUUGUGCUUUAAUAAAUAGCUUUGUGCAUAAUUUUGCCCAUAUUUUUGCCAUUAUAUUUUUCUUAAAUGUUUAUUUAUUUAUUGAGAGAGACAGAAAGAGAGAGAGAGGCAGAGCAGGGGGAGGGAUAGAGAGAGAAGAGAGAGAAUCCCAAUCAGGCUCCACACUCAGCACAGAGCCUGACAUGGGGCUCCAUCUCACAAACUGUGAGAUUAUGACGUGAACUUAAAUCAAGAGCCAGACACUCAACUGGCUGAGCCACCCAGACACCCCUGCCAUUGUAUUUUUGGGAUAGAUUCUUAGAAGUGAGAUUUCUGGGUCAAAGAAUAAAUGCAUAUUCAACUUGGCUGUAUAGUGGCAAAUUCUUUUCCACUAUUCUGCAUUUUCACCUAUAAUGUAUGGAAAUGCUCUUUUCUCCACAGCUUCACCAACAGAGUAUAUUCUUGACCUUUUGGAAUUUUACUACACUGAUAAACAAAAUGAUGGUAUCCCCAUAUAGUUUGAUUUGGAUUUAUCUUAUUAUGACAUUAGUUUUUCAUGUUUAAUGGGUUUUCUGUUUACUUUUCAGUGAGCUAUACGAUCAUAUCGUCAAGCUAUUUUUUUUUUGUUUUUAUUUAUUUAUUUAUUUUUUUUUAUGAAAUUUAUGGACAAAUUGGUUUCCAUACAACACCCAGUGCUUUGCGCAGUGGCAGUAUCGUCAAGCUAUUUUUAUGGAAAGUUGUUGGCUUUUUGUUUUCUCUCUUUAAAAAAAAACCUUUUUCAUGUAUUAAGAGUUAUGGCUGGUUGCAACGGUUGUGUCCAUUUCUAAAUGGACACAUUUCUCUCCUUCUCUAAGUUAGCAUCCAUUUCCCCACUUGGUUUGUAUGAAGGUUAGGCUUGGGACCUGUUUUGGUCAAUAGAAUGCAGCAGAAGUGACCUUGUACCAGUUCCAAGUUGAGGCCUCGAAAGAUUUUGCGUGCUUCUCUCAGUUUCUUUGAAUCCUACUUAGCUACCAUGUGGACCAGUCUUGAAGACCUUGUUGGAGAAUGAAAGUCCAUAUGCAGCAGAGAUGAGCCGUCAUUGCUUAGCCUGUCUUAGACUCGGCAACAUGAAUGAACCCAGCAAAAAGCAAAAGAACCAAACCCCCAAAAUAACAAUCUCAGAAUCAUGAGCUAAUUUUUUCUUGUCUUAAAUCGCUAAAUUUUGGGGUGUUUUGUCACGUGGCAAAAACUCACAUACGGAUGACAGCUUUUUUUCCCUAAAGUAUUGCAAACACUGCCCAGUUUGCACAUUGUCUUUAUAGUGGUGGCUAAACAAUCUGUUGUUUUUUUUUUUAAUUUGCAUAUCUACUUUAUUUUAAUUUUCCUUUUUAGUCUUGCUUUACUUAUCCUUUCUGUUCUUUCCCCAUGUGCAACAUAGUUUUAAAUAGUAGCCAUUGCAUUGUACAUAUGAUUUUUAAUUUGGCUAUAUAUCACACACAAUUUCCUAUGUUUCUACAUGGCACUUAUAAUUACAAAUUUUAAUUACAAAUCCUUUAUGUCCUUACGCUUACCAUAAUUUAUAAAUCCUUUCUUCUUGGACAUAUAUUUCAUAUUUGUUGCUAUUAUAGAUAACACUAUAAUGAACAGUAUUUUGCUAUUUUGAAUUGUUUCCUUAUGAUAAAUUAUCAUGAAUGAAAUUACUGAAUCAAAGCAUAUAAAAAUCUUUAUAGUUUUUGCUAUGUUUUGACAUAUAGUUUUUUAAAUAAUGUAAUUUGUAAUGUCAUCAGCAGUAAGUACUACACUCUCCAUAGUUACAGAUUUUUAUUUUUUUACAGAUUAAGUGUGCCGUUCUCUCAAAGUAAUUCUUAGAAAUGCUUUAAAAAUCAAAAAUCAAUUAAAAGUAAAUCAAAAGGCAAUAAUAGAAGGUGUUAAACUGCAGUCUCCUAUCUGUCCCUUCCCCCCACGGUUCUCUGCUCCCCAAGUGGAUGCCAUCAAGUGUCUUCUCUGGUGGUUAGCCCAGUUCCAAAAUAACUUAUUUUGAAUAUCUUUCUAAGUUUUAGAUAUUGUGUACUGCGUAUUCCUUCUAUAAAAACUGAAGAUUUAGCUCUUUUAAAUCCCUCUCAUACUCGGAUGUCCCUCUCACAGAUACAUGUCUACUCUUCCCAUCAAACAAACCCAGUUUUCAACAUGUAAAUUGAAAUCUGUAUUCAGAGUUUUUAACUAUCAUAGUUAUGCAUAUACUGUUUAAUUCAGAACCAAGUUGAGACUUUCUGCUAAAUUUCCUUUCUUGUACAACUUUUUGGCUGGUGUUUUGUGGAGUUAAUUGCCCUUUAUUAUUUUGUUAAUUUAGUUUUCUUACAGUCUUGGCCUAAAUUAUUCCCAUAAUCUUCACUUCUCAGUCCUAGUUUCCACGAAGUCAAACUUGUCAAAUAAGCUAUUUAUUGUCAUAGGAAUUUUGGAAAAUUCCUGCCAGAACUUCAAGUCUUACCUCAUCUGCUUCAGUUUGCCUGGUUUUUCUCUAAGGUUGGACAUAUGUCCAUCAUCCUCACCCUUCUUGUUGUUUUCCAGAAAAUUCUCUUCACCUCUCUCCUGUGCUGGAUCCAUUACUUCAUGGACUUCAUUUACAAAGGACAUUUGUUGUUGGUUUUGCACGCCUAGCAUCUGAAGCAUUUUCUGUGAUAAAGGAAAUCCUCAUUCUUAUGGACAAUGCAAGAAAGUAAUGAUUGACUUACUGUACUGUAGCUGAAAAGGCUAGAUUCUCAUUUUCACUGACCUUCUUUUAUCCAGGACACAAAUGUGUGAGCUAGGAUGGCUCAGUCAGAUGUGUUCAUGGCAGGGGCGCCUGGGUGGCUCAGUCGGUUGAGCAUCCGACUUCAGCUCAGGUCAUGAUCUCACGGUUCGUGGGUUUAAACCGUACAUUGGGCUCCAUGCUGGUGGUGCAUAGCCUGCUUGGGAUUCUUGCUCUCUCCUCUCUCUCUGCCCCUUCCCUUGCUCACUCUUCCUCUCUCUCUCAAAAUAAAUAAACUUAAAAAAAAAUAUGUUCAUGACAGUAACUUGGCUCAUGAUGUGUCAAAGAGGGGACAGGGAGUGCUCUUUCUGAAGGCAGCAGAGGUAACAGUGUUUGUAAUGUGGGAUUCUUGGUGUGGGUAGGGACAGCUCAAGGUCCCCAGCCAAUACCUGCAGGGACCCCUGAUACCUAAUUGCCUUCUUCCAUCCCUGUGAUGUUCCUGCUGCUUUCUUAGUACCACUACGGAAGCCAUGCUUGACCAUGUGGAACCCUACCAGAAACUCCAGUCUGUAAAUAAGUGUUUCUCCCUAAUAGUUUUUCUCACGUUUGUUUCGCACCAAGUGUCUGGAGCCACGUAUAUCUACAUUGCAAUUCCCGAGGUGUCUGCAGGUAAGAUCUCUGGUGGCUUUGUGUGCAAAAUAAAAAGGACUCAUCCAUUUUCAAAUUUUUAAUUAAUUAACUUUUUUGCAUCCAAAAUCUUUUAAAUAACAAAGGGGUAGUUUUUGUAACCACGGUGAGCCCAUUGAACACUGGUGAACUCAAACUUCUGGCCCUUGGAGUGCACGUAGGGUGUAGCGUGGCUGCACAGGGUUCCUCUGGCCUUGUAAGAAUGCCUGUAUACUUCUCGCCUUUCAGACAAGCAGAGAGCAGGACAGUGCCAUAGCGGUUGGGGGAGUCCAGGGCCAGCUGGUUGAAGGUGAGGAUCUUGCCCCCACCUUGAGGAUGAAGUUUCCGCACAUAGCUGCUUACGGUGCAGCACGCACUCUUUUCAGUUUGGGUACCUCCUGUACACUGAGGUCACUCAUUACAGUUCCUGCACCCACAGCUUUUUUGUCUUCCUGGUCAGGAUGCUUCAUCCUCCAGAUCAUCCAGGAAAGGGACAGAAGCAGCUGGUUUGGUGCAACUCAUGAACCACCUCUUCAGCACAACUUGGUUGAAGGUGGAGUUGGUUUGUUUGGGAAGAAAACUGCACAGCCUGACCAACAGCCGUGGGUCGGUGUCCUGGCUCUCGGGCUCUUAACCUUAACCUUUUGGCCCUUGUUGUGGAGGAUGCCAACUCUGAUGAUGGCGCCUC
rnacentral:lncRNA from 1 species